GUAGGAAUCUGCCUUUUGGUUUGGAAUAACACGGGGAAACCUGUGCUAAUACCGAAUAAGCCUUUACAGGGAAAGUUUUAACGCCGAAAGAUGAGCCUGCACUUGAUUAGCUAGUUGGUAAGGUAAAAGCUUACCAAGGCAACGAUCAAUAGCUGUUCUUAGAGGAAGACCAGCCACAUUGGGACUGAGACACGGCCCAGACUCCUACGGGAGGCAGCAGUGGGGAAUCUUGCACAAUGGGGGAAACCCUGAUGCAGCGAUGCCGCGUGAGUGAAGAAGGCCUUUGGGUUGUAAAACUCUUUCGUCGGGGAAGAAAAUGACUGUACCCGAAUAAGA
rnacentral:rRNA from 1 species